rnacentral:rRNA from 1 species
UAUAAAUUUGGUUCUGGUUUUUUUAAUUGGAUAUUGCUGAGGUUUAUACAUGCAAGUUAAUCAGCAAGACGGUGAGGGUUGUAGUGGUGUUUUAUAAUGUUUAAAAUAUUAAAUCAUUGAAGCAAUAAAGAUUACUAUUAAAAUAGUUAAUGGAUAAGAAAUAUAUAUACACAACUGCAGUAAUGGACAAUAAUUAAUAAUUGAAGAAUUGACUAUACCAAGGGUAUAGUAGAGACCGACUAAAAUAUCGUGCCAGCAGUCGCGGUUAAACGAAUAGUCUUUUUAAUAAAUUAAAUGGCUUAAUAUGGGUAAAGUAUAAUAAAUAACUUUUAAAAGUCUAUAAUUCUCGGGGUGAAAUCCGUUUAUAGCCGAAAAAAUAUUAGUACAGUGACCAUGAAACUAGGAGUGAAGACCCGGAUUGGAUACCCGGUUAUUUCUUAAGAUUAAAAUUAAAUGCCUGUGGAGUACGGGGUUAUCCUUGAGAAACAAAGAACUUGGCGGUUAUCUAUUUCUGAUUAGGGGAGCUUGCUUGAAGAAAACGGUGAUCCACGAAGAACCUUACCUAUUCUUGAUAUACAGCCUCUAUAUCGUCGUCAUUAAGUUUUCAUCCAAAGUUAGAAGACAAAACUAUUAAAUAAUAAGGUUAACAAAGGAUAAGAUGUCAGAUCUUGAUGGAGCUUAUGAAUAGGUGAGAGUGGGCUACAGUAGCUUUAUAGCUAGUAAAGUUUGGAUUAUUUUAUGAAAAAAAAAUAUGAAAUAGGACUUAAUAAUAACUAAAAAAAGGAGCAAGGAAUAGUGAAGUUAGCUCUAGAUUUCGUACACAUCGCCCGUCACCUGCGGGGUUAAACCUGGAGUAAGUCGUAACAUAGUAGGUGUACCGGAAGGUGCGGCCUAGCAAAGAAU